GCAGGCGGUCUCUUAAGUCUGAUGUGAAAGCCCACGGCUCAAUCGUGGAGGGUCAUUGGAAACUGGGAGACUUGAGUGCAGGAGAGAAAAGUGGAAUUCCACGUGUAGCGGUGAAAUGCGUAGAGAUGUGGAGGAACACCAGUGGCGAAGGCGGCUUUUUGGCCUGUAACUGACGCUGAGGCGCGAAAGCGUGGGGAGCAAACAGGAUUAGAUACCCUGGUAGUCCACGCCGUAAACGAUGAGUGCUAGGUGUUGGGGGGUUCCACCCUCAGUGCUGAAGUUAACACAUUAAGCACUCCGCCUGGGGAGUACGACCGCAAGGUUGAAACUCAAAGGAAUUGACGGGGGCCCGCACAAGCAGUGGAGCAUGUGGUUUAAUUUGAAGCAACGCGAAGAACCUUACCAGGUCUUGACAUCCUUUGAACCCUUUAGAGAUAGAGCUUUCCCCUUCGGGGGACAGAGUGACAGGUGGUGCAUGGUUGUCGUCAGCUCGUGUCGUGAGAUGUUGGGUUAAGUCCCGCAACGAGCGCAACCCUUGACCUUAGUUGCCAGCAUUCAGUUGGGCACUCUAAGGUGACUGCCGGUGACAAACCGGAGGAAGGUGGGGAUGACGUCAAAUCAUCAUGCCCCUUAUGACCUGGGCUACACACGUGCUACAAUGGAUGGUACAAAGGGUUGCGAAGCCGCGAGGCCAAGCCAAUCCCAAAAAGCCAUUCUCAGUUCGGAUUGUAGGCUGCAACUCGCCUACAUGAAGCCGGAAUUGCUAGUAAUCGCGGAUCAGCAUGCCGCGGUGAAUACGUUCCCGGGCCUUGUACACAC
rnacentral:rRNA from 1 species